rnacentral:rRNA from 1 species
UGGGGAAUCUUGCACAAUGGGGGCAACCCUGAUGCAGCGACGCCGCGUGAGCGAUGAAGCCCUUCGGGGCGUAAAGCUCUUUCGACCGGAACGAUAAUGACGGUACCGGGAGAAGAAGCUGCGGCUAACUACGUGCCAGCAGCCGCGGUAAUACGUAGGCAGCAAGCGUUGUUCGGAGUUACUGGGCGUAAAGAGUGCGUAGGCGGUUUUCUAAGUUCGGUGUGAAAUCUCCCGGCUUAACUGGGAGGGUGCGCCGAAGACUGGGAAGCUGGAGUGUGGGAAAGGCAACCGGGAUUCUUGGUGUAGCGGUGAAAUGCGUAGAUAUCAAGAGGAACACCUGAGGCGAAGGCGGGUUGCUGGGCCGACACUGACGCUGAUGCGCGAAAGCCAGGGGAGCAAACG